GACGAACCGUGCGAACGUUAUUCGGAAUCACUGGGCUUAAAGCGCGUGUAGGCGGGACGGCGCGUCGGUCGCUGAAAGCCCCCGGCUCAACCGGGGAAGCGGCGCCGAUACGGCCGACCUGGAGGGACGUAGGGGGGCCUGGAACUUCCGGUGGAGCGGUGAAAUGCGUUGAGAUCGGAAGGAACGCCCGUGGCGAAAGCGAGGCCCUGGACGUCUGCUGACGCUGAGACGCGAAAGCCAGGGGAGCGAACGGG
rnacentral:rRNA from 1 species